UAGGGAAUCUUCCGCAAUGGACGCAAGUCUGACGGAGCAACGCCGCGUGAGUGAAGAAGGAUUUCGGUUCGUAAAACUCUGUUGUUAGAGAAGAACAGCGCAUAGAUUAACUGUUAUGCGUGUGACGGUAUCUAACCAGAAAGCCACGGCUAACUACGUGCCAGCAGCCGCGGUAAUACGUAGGUGGCAAGCGUUGUCCGGAUUUAUUGGGCGUAAAGCGAGCGCAGGCGGUCAAUUAAGUCUGAUGUGAAAGCCCCCGGCUCAACCGGGGAGGGUCAUUGGAAACUGGUUGACUUGAGUGCAGAAGAGGAGAGUGGAAUUCAAUGUGUAGCGGUGAAAUGCGUAGAUAUAUGGAGGAACACCGGUGGCGAAAGCGGCUCUCUGGUCUGUAACUGACGCUGAGGCUCGAAAGCGUGGGGAGCGAACAGG
rnacentral:rRNA from 1 species